rnacentral:lncRNA from 1 species
GGGGACCAUCGGGGGACCAUGGGCACACACACACACACACUGACCCACGCACGGCCACAGUCGCUUGUCUUCCUUCUCCAAUCCACUCCAACCAGUGUCCACACGGACACUCACACGUGCGUGGGUACCAACGUGGCUCAGUGGCUAUCCCCCGAAAGGGCGAUCUGGGUCACACCAACACAACACAAAUGUGGGUGCAUCCACUCAAAGGUCCCUCCACACUCUGACACACAGUCACACACGACUCCCAAGCUGCUUUGGUGAAGUAGAGAGGAUAAGCCCCCCCAGUUUCCCACUCCGAAGAGGGACCUGAACAUUUGGGGAAUGGAGUUUGUGGAGUUUCCAUCUCAGGCUACAGAAGGCGAAAAAUGGAGCAGGGACGCUUGUCCUUAGAAGGUUAGGGAGGGAAGUCCCCUGCCCAGAGGGCUUCUCGGUUUGUCCUAGACGGAAAUCUAGUACCAACAAGGGCCCGAUCAAUCUGCGCACCCCUCCCAUUUCAGUCACUUAGGGACACAGUGGCCUUAGGUUCAAAGAGAAAGUGCUUUGCCCUGGAAGGACUGGGAGAAUCCAUAGUCAUGGGCCCAGGUGUGCCCCAGAGAGGGAGUGGGUCUGUCCCCUCUCAUCUCUAACAUUC